AGAGAGAGACAUGCGCGCAUAUCAAUAAGCGGAGGAAAAGAAACUAACUAGGAUUCCCUUAGUAACGGCGAGUGAAGCGGGAAGAGCUCAAAUUUGAAAUCUUCAAGGUUCUACCUUGACGAAUUGUAGUUUAAAGAAGUGUUUUCUGCUGGAGUUUUGGUAAAAGUUCUUUGGAAUAGGACAUCAUAGAGGGUGAGAAUCCCGUAUUUGACCAUUAUUUCAGCUUUGUGAUACACUUUCAAAGAGUCGGAUUGUUUGGGAAUGCAGUCCAAAAUGGGUGGUAAAUUUCAUCUAAAGCUAAAUAUUGGCGAGAGAGCCGAUAGCGAACAAGUACCGUGAGGGAAAGAUGAAAAGAACUUUGAAAAGAGAGUUAAACAGUACGUGAAAUUGUCAAAAGGGAAGCGUUUGACACCAGUGUUGUUUUCUCGAAAAUCAAUUAAAAAUGGCUCGAUUUUGUAUUGUUGAGACCUUAAAAGCUCACUGUACAUUUUUCGUGUCUUUUUUAAUGCACUUUUCGUUUAACAAGUCAACAUCAGUUUCUUUUGUUGUAAAAGGGUCAUUGGAAGGUGGCUUUCUUUUCGGAGAAAGUGUUUAUAGCCUUUGGCCUCUGCAAUCGGAAGAGACUGAGGUCUGCAGCGUAGACUCUUCGGGGUUAGAUACAUUUGUGCUAAGUUAUAGCUUUUUAUAGACAACUUGUUGACUAUAAUUAGUCUUGUAGCUUACUCGCUUAUGCUAUUUUACCUACGCUUAGGAUGUUGAAGAUGUAGCACAUCAU
rnacentral:rRNA from 1 species